rnacentral:lncRNA from 1 species
GUCCAAGGAAAAGUGGAGGCGAAGAAGGUGGCAUUUGCUGAGUUGGCAGGGAGCACAAGCGAGGAAGAACGGAGAGUGAACAUGGAGAUCUAUAAGGUGGCGAGGAGAGAAGCAAAGCUGGCGGUUACGGAAGCUAAAAACACGUCGUUUGGUCGCAUGUACGAGGAAUUAGGGGAGAAAGGCGGGGACAGGAAGUUAUUCCAAUUAGCUAAAGCAAGGGAAAGGAUGGUAGAGUUCUGAUGGGGGAGUCUCAAGUCAAGCAGAGGUAGCAGGCGCACUUUCGAGACUUACUUAAAGAGGAGGGGGAUCGUAACAUAGAGCUAGGGGAGUUGGGGCAUUCAGAGCAACAUAGAGACCUUGGGUACUGAGGUGCAUAAGGGCGGAGGAGGUCAUGAGGGCUUUGCGUAGGAUGAGCAGGGGUCGAGCGACCGGGCGUGACGAGCCAAGUUAGGUGCAUCAAGGGCGAGGAUGGUAGAGUUCUGAUGGGGGAGUCUCAUGUCAAGCAGAGGUGGCAGGCGUACUUUCGAGACUUACUUAACAACGAGGGGGAUCGUAACAUAGAGCGGAGUUGGGGCAUUCAGAGCAACAUAGAGACCUUGGGUACUGCAGGCUCAUUAGGGCGGAUGAGGUCAUGGGGGCUUUGCGUAGGAUGAGUAGGGGUCCAGCAACCGGGUCUGAUGAGAUCCCGGUGGAGUUCUGGAAAUGCAUGGGUAGGUCAGGAGUGGAGUGGCUCUCCAGGNNNNNNNNNNNNNNNNNNNNNNNNNNNNNNNNNNNNNNNNNNNAGGUCAGGAGUGGAGUGGCUCUCCAGGUUGUUCAAUGCGAUCUUCAGGACCAAAAGGAUGUCGGAGGAGUGGAGGUGGAGUACAGUGGUGCCCUGGUACAAGAACAAAGGGAACAUCCAGUGCUGCAACAACUAUAUGGGUAUUAAAUUAAUUAGUCAUACCAUGAAAGUAUGGGAGCGGGUGAUCAAGGCGAGGGUGAGGGAGAUGAUAUCUAUAUCUGUGAACCAGUUCGGUUUCAUGCCGGUCGCUCCACUACAGAAGCCAUCCACCUUGUUAGGAGGUUGGUAGAGCAGUUCAGGGAUAAGAAAAAAGACCUGCACAUGGUGCUUAUCGACUUGGAGAAGGCGUAUGACAAGGUCCCAAGGGAGGUGCUAUGGAGAUGCUUGGAGGCGAAGAGCAUGCCGGAAGCCUACAUCAGAGUAAUCAAGGACAU